rnacentral:rRNA from 1 species
AAAUUGAAGAGUUUGAUCAUGGCUCAGAUUGAACGCUGGCGGCAGGCCUAACACAUGCAAGUCGAGCGGUAGCACAGAAGAGCUUGCUCUUUGGGUGACGAGCGGCGGACGGGUGAGUAAUGUCUGGGAAACUGCCUGAUGGAGGGGGAUAACUACUGGAAACGGUAGCUAAUACCGCAUAACCUCGCAAGAGCAAAGAGGGGGACCUUCGGGCCUCUCGCCAUCAGAUGUGCCCAGAUGGGAUUAGCUAGUAGGUGAGGUAAUGGCUCACCUAGGCGACGAUCCCUAGCUGGUCUGAGAGGAUGACCAGCCACACUGGAACUGAGACACGGUCCAGACUCCUACGGGAGGCAGCAGUGGGGAAUAUUGCACAAUGGGCGCAAGCCUGAUGCAGCCAUGCCGCGUGUGUGAAGAAGGCCUUCGGGUUGUAAAGCACUUUCAGCGGGGAGGAAGGCGGUAAGGUUAAUAACCUUAUCGAUUGACGUUACCCGCAGAAGAAGCACCGGCUAACUCCGUGCCAGCAGCCGCGGUAAUACGGAGGGUGCAAGCGUUAAUCGGAAUGACUGGGCGUAAAGCGCACGCAGGCGGUCUGUUAAGUUGGAUGUGAAAUCCCCGGGCUUAACCUGGGAACUGCAUUCAAAACUGACAGGCUAGAGUCUUGUAGAGGGGGGUAGAAUUCCAGGUGUAGCGGUGAAAUGCGUAGAGAUCUGGAGGAAUACCGGUGGCGAAGGCGGCCCCCUGGACAAAGACUGACGCUCAGGUGCGAAAGCGUGGGGAGCAAACAGGAUUAGAUACCCUGGUAGUCCACGCUGUAAACGAUGUCGAUUUGGAGGUUGUGCCCUUGAGGCGUGGCUUCCGGAGCUAACGCGUUAAAUCGACCGCCUGGGGAGUACGGCCGCAAGGUUAAAACUCAAAUGAAUUGACGGGGGCCCGCACAAGCGGUGGAGCAUGUGGUUUAAUUCGAUGCAACGCGAAGAACCUUACCUACUCUUGACAUCCAGAGAACUUAGCAGAGAUGCUUUGGUGCCUUCGGGAACUCUGAGACAGGUGCUGCAUGGCUGUCGUCAGCUCGUGUUGUGAAAUGUUGGGUUAAGUCCCGCAACGAGCGCAACCCUUAUCCUUUGUUGCCAGCGAUUCGGUCGGGAACUCAAAGGAGACUGCCGGUGAUAAACCGGAGGAAGGUGGGGAUGACGUCAAGUCAUCAUGGCCCUUACGAGUAGGGCUACACACGUGCUACAAUGGCGUAUACAAAGAGAAGCGACCUCGCGAGAGCAAGCGGACCUCAUAAAGUACGUCGUAGUCCGGAUUGGAGUCUGCAACUCGACUCCAUGAAGUCGGAAUCGCUAGUAAUCGUAGAUCAGAAUGCUACGGUGAAUACGUUCCCGGGCCUUGUACACACCGCCCGUCACACCAUGGGAGUGGGUUGCAAAAGAAGUAGGUAGCUUAACCUUCGGGAGGGCGCUUACCACUUUGUGAUUCAUGACUGGGGUGAAGUCGUAACAAGGUAACCGUAGGGGAACCUGCGGUUGGAUCACCUCCUUACCAAGAAG